rnacentral:tmRNA from 1 species
GGGGGCGCACCGGUUUCGACGGGGACGUUGGAAGCCGGGGUUGCGAGCCGAGGCGCCGCUGGCCUCGUUAAAAAGCGGCAUUAUCAUAGUUGCCAACAACGACUACGAUUACGCACUGGCUGCCUAAAGGCGACCACGUCCAUCCGGCUGACGCCUGAUACGUCGGUUUGGGCGAAACACUAUCGGGCUAGCUGAGCAGGUUGCCCACCUCCUGUAAGGCGAAACUCUCAAGGUAGGCUGGCCGUAACCCUAGCCUGUUCUGGGGCCGGGUUGCGGUAAGACUGAAACCAGGACUACGCUCGUAGAUACUCCGCGUGGACCGUUCUCGGACGGGGGUUCGACUCCCCCCGCCUCCACCA